CAGACCUUCAAAGCCAACCCAGGGCUUUUUCUAUCAGUAGGCUGCUGAGAGCUGACAGCCUGAAAACUCGAGGAAGCUGUUUGCUUCAUUUCAGCAGUUUUGAAGUCUUGUUUCAGUCCAGUGGGUUGACAGAGAUGCUCGGGUAUUGCUUUCUUGGGAUCCAUUUAUCUAAAGAAGCAAUCAAGCUAUUCCCACUGGCUGCUGCGUGAAGGCCAAGGAGACUGGAGAUACAUACACGGGACCUGCUCUUUGAUUAGUCUGCAGCCCUGCAGACACAGGACCUCACACAGAAGCUGUCUAGACAAACCCACAAAGGCCUGGGAAGCACUUGGACGCUACCACAAAAGGUUAUGCAGAAAAAUUAAUCUGGAAAUUGCAGCCCAUUUCCUCCGCAGCACAGUUUUAAUCAUGGCUUGUAAAUAAGGCAUGAGACACACUCUGAAUAAUGAGGAGAAAUGAUGGAAAGUAUGAAAUACCUGAUCGUGAGAUCACCAUUUAUUUUGGACAAUGAAUAUAGGAAAGGUUCCCAGGGAAAUGCCAUUAUGCAAGUACAUAGGUUCAAGAUGAAAGAUGGUAUCGUAAUGCGUAUGGAAAUGGAAGUCACAUGGACCUUGCCAGACAAUCCUAUGUCUAACUUAUAGCCUAAAAGCUUAAUUUCGCCAUUUUAAAAGCUUUUUUAAACUCAAGGGAUCAGGGCUUUAUUUUGUUAAUCACUUCUAUGGAAAUGCUCCCAGUAUGGAAAAGGAAUUCAGUGACCGAUAAAAUAACAUUUCAUGUUUUUGUCAUUGUAUUGAGCUUGAAUUUUCUGUACCGAAGUGUGGGGUUUCAGCCAUUUCUUUACUUAAGAGAAAAAAGAGCUUUGCUGAGCAAGAAGGAAAAAAAUCCCCGAAAAAAAAAAGACCCUAGUCACAUAAAAAUUGUUCCAUGUUUUUUGGUGUAUUCAGCACUUUUCCUCAGUACAGUUCACAGAACGCUCACAUGAAUAAAGCUCCCCUUUUCUUUUUUUAUUUUUAAUUUUUGUGUGUGUGUGUUUAAUUAGAUUGAGCCUGGAGAGAGAGAGAAACCAAAUAAAUCUUUAAGUGAGUGUAGGGAGGGAUGGAUGGGUGAAAACACUUAAGUGAAAGUAAGAAACGGGUAAGGCUUUCACUGAGAUUUCCUGAGGUAGAGUAUUCUUUAAUCCUGGGUUACUUUCCUGGACUCAGACUAAAGGCAGAAAGUGCCUGAUUUCUAACACAGGUCAUAGGAUUUCAUCCAACUCAUCCUAUGGGCAGUGAAUGCACCAUGGUCAAGCUUUGCUCCAGCUGUUGGAGCUGUGGGGCUGAGAAGGGUCCUGGGGAGGGUGGCAGGGUGUCUGAGCCUUCCCUCCAGCUUGAAUCCCUUUCACAUCAUUACCGGAGGCUUUUUGUUUUGACCCAUUCCUUCACAGCAAAUCGAGGAAAGGCAAAUUCCUUUUUGUUCCUGAAGGCUCUAGGACCUGUGGAAGGCUCAAAGUGCUUGUUAAAGGUACCUGUUGAUUUCACUGCUCUGCCAGGAAAGAUUUGAGAGGUGCUGGCACUCAGUCCCUUGCUGCUUUCUUGGUGCUGGACCCAUCCUCACUGCAGACAGACCAGCUACAGGCAUCUUUGCAUGCACUUGGGACAGCAUCAGCAAAGCUAACUCAGGUAUAGAAGCGGCAGUGUUACAGGAUGCAGUACUACAGCUUCAGGCACUUUGUCCACACUGCAUCUUGGGCUCUAAGCUGCCACAAUUUUAUUGCUAGUGGUGUACAAAUUAGCCGCAUUAAGACUAGCUCCACUCCUCCUGUGAUUGCUGCAAUCACCAUCCAUUAGCUUUAGUAGCUUUAUUACAAUCCCUUUUGCUCCUUUAGGCUAGCAAGAAAAAGGAACAGCCACCAGCUCUGAGCAGCCUUUCUCUGUGCUGCCUCACAGGCUGGCCUCCUGCAGCAGGCACACAGAGAGGAGCAGCCCGUGGUGCAGCCUGUGGGCUGGAUGUUACGUCAUUUACCUCCCGUGUUUCUGUUUGCUGAUUCAAUUUCAGAGCUUUGACUUCUGUGGGAAGUUAACCACAGAGUCAACACAGGAGCUGGCUAAAAGAAACGUUCCCGUCAGUGCGCUGCUUUGCAGGGCUGAGAAAGGUGAUAAAGGCUCUUUAGCAAUAGCAAGAAUUGCCCUGGUGGUGGCAAACCUUGCCAGUUGGCUGGAUUUUUUUUUGGCUCUGGGUGUGACAGUGCCAAGUGCUCAAAUGCU
ensembl:lncRNA